rnacentral:rRNA from 1 species
GUUGUAUGGUCAAGUAAUGAAGUGCACAUGGUGGAUGCCUUGGCAGUCAGAGGCGAUGAAAGACGUGAUAGCCUGCGAUAAGCGUCGGUGAGGUGGCAAUAUCCUGUGACCCGGCGAUUUCUGAAUGGGGAAACCCACCUAAGAUAACUUAGGUAUCAUAAUUUAUUUUAUGAGGCAAACCGGGAGAAGUGAAACAUCUCAGUACCCCGAGGAAAAGACAUCAAUUGAGAUUCCCCAAGUAGCGGCGAGCGAACGGGGAGGAGCCGAUCGAAUUUACAGUAGCAAAAUGGCGUGGGAAAGCCAACCAUAGUAGGUGAUAGUCCUGUAUGCGAAACUGUUUAUGAGACAUAUUAAGUAGGGCGGAACACGAGAAAUUCUGUCUGAAGAUGGGGGGACCAUCCUCCAAGGCUAAAUACUCCUGACUGACCGAUAGUGAACCAGUACCGUGAGGGAAAGGCGAAAAGAACCCCUGUUAGGGGAGUGAAAUAGAACCUGAAACCGUGUGCAUACAAGCAGUCGGAGCGGACUUGUUCCGUGACGGCGUACCUUUUGUAUAAUGGGUCAGCGACUUAUAUUCUGUAGCAAGGUUAACCGUAUAGGGGAGCCGUAGGGAAACCGAGUCUUAAUAGGGCGACAUAGUUGCAGGGUAUAGACCCGAAACCGAGUGAUCUAUCCAUGAGCAGGUUGAAAGUGUCGUAACAGACACCGGAGGACCGAACCCACUCCCGUUGAAAAGGUAGGGGAUGACUUGUGGAUAGGGGUGAAAGGCUAAUCAAACUCGGUGAUAGCUGGUUCUCCCCGAAAGCUAUUUAGGUAGCGCCUCGGACGAACACCAUGGGGGGUAGAGCACUGUUUCGGCUAGGGGGUCAUCCCGACUUACCAAACCGAUGCAAACUCCGAAUACCCAUGAGUGAUAUCCGGGAGACAGACGGCGGGUGCUAACGUCCGUCGUCAAGAGGGAAACAACCCAGACCGCCAGCUAAGGCCCCAAAUUCCUAGUUAAGUGGGAAACGAUGUGGGAAGGCACAGACAGCUAGGAGGUUGGCUUAGAAGCAGCCACCCUUUAAAGAAAGCGUAAUAGCUCACUAGUCGAGUCGGCCUGCGCGGAAGAUGUAACGGGGCUCAAACUAGGAGCCGAAGCUGCGGAUUUAAUUGUUUCAAUUAAGUGGUAGGGGAGCGUUGUGUAAGCCUGUGAAGGUGACUCGUAAGGGUUGCUGGAGGUAUCACAAGAGCGAAUGCUGACGUGAGUAACGACAAAACGGGUGAAAAGCCCGUUCGCCGGAAGACCAAGGGUUCCAGUCCAACGUUAAUCGGGGCUGGGUGAGUCGACCCCUAAGGCGAGGCCGAAAGGCGUAGUCGAUGGGAAAUCGGUUAAUAUUCCGAUACUUGUUUAUGAUGCGAUGGAGGGACGGAGAAGGUUAUGCCAGCCUGGCGAUGGUUGUCCAGGUGGAAGGAUGUAGGUAGGCUUAGUAGGCAAAUCCGCUAGGCUAUUACUGAGAUCUGAUAGCAAGCCAGUUUACUGGCGAAGUGGCAAAUACCAUGCUUCCAGGAAAAGCUUCUAAGCGAUAGUCAUAAACAAAUCGUACCCGAAACCGACACAGGUGGUCAGGUAGAGAAUACCAAGGCGCUUGAGAGAACUCUGCUGAAGGAACUAGGCAAAAUGGUACCGUAACUUCGGGAGAAGGUACGCUGCCGGUGGUGAAACCCUCGCGGUGUAAGCUACUGGCAGUCGCAGAUACCAGGCUGCUGCAACUGUUUAUUAAAAACACAGCACUCUGCAAACACGAAAGUGGACGUAUAGGGUGUGAUGCCUGCCCGGUGCUGGAAGGUUAAUUGAUGUGGUUAGCGCAAGCGAAGCUAUUGAUCGAAGCCCCAGUAAACGGCGGCCGUAACUAUAACGGUCCUAAGGUAGCGAAAUUCCUUGUCGGGUAAGUUCCGACCUGCACGAAUGGCAUAAUGAUGGCAGCGCUGUCUCCAGCAGAGACUCAGUGAAAUCGAAAUCGCAGUGAAGAUGCUGUGUACCCGCGGCUAGACGGUAAGACCCCGUGAACCUUUACUACAGCUUUACAUUGAACUUUGACCUAACUUGUGUAGGAUAGGUGGGAGGCUUUGAAGUAGGGACGCCAGUUCCUAUGGAGCCAACCUUGAAAUACCACCCUGGUUAUGUUGGGGUUCUAACUUAGAUAUAACAGUAUCAAGGACAAUGUAUGGUGGGUAGUUUGACUGGGGCGGUCUCCUCCUAAAGAGUAACGGAGGAGUACGAAGGUGCGCUCAGAACGGUCGGAAAUCGUUCAAAGAGUAUAAAGGCAAAAGCGCGCUUAACUGCGAGACCCACAAGUCGAGCAGGUACGAAAGUAGGUCUUAGUGAUCCGGUGGUUCUGUAUGGAAGGGCCAUCGCUCAACGGAUAAAAGGUACUCUGGGGAUAACAGGCUGAUACCGCCCAAGAGUUCAUAUCGACGGCGGUGUUUGGCACCUCGAUGUCGGCUCAUCUCAUCCUGGGGCUGAAGCAGGUCCCAAGGGUAUGGCUGUUCGCCAUUUAAAGAGGUACGCGAGCUGGGUUUAGAACGUCGUGAGACAGUUCGGUCCCUAUCUACCGUGGGCGUUGGAAAUUUGAGAGGAUCUGCUCCUAGUACGAGAGGACCAGAGUGGACGAACCUCUGGUGUUCCGGUUGUCACGCCAGUGGCACUGCCGGGUAGCUACGUUCGGAUGGGAUAACCGCUGAAAGCAUCUAAGCGGGAAGCCCACCUCAAGAUGAGAUUUCCCUAAAGAGCCGUUGUAGACUACGACGUUGAUAGGUUGGGUGUGGAAGUGUAGUGAUACAUGUAGCUAACCAAUACUAAUUGCUCGUUUGGCUUGACCAUACAACACCCAAG